AUACGUAGGGAGCGAGCGUUGUCCGGAAUUACUGGGUGUAAAGGGAGCGUAGGCGGGAGUGCAAGUCAGAUGUGAAAUACAUGGGCUCAACCCAUGGGCUGCAUUUGAAACUGCAUUUCUUGAGUGCAGUAGAGGUAAGCGGAAUUCCUGGUGUAGCGGUGAAAUGCGUAGAUAUCAGGAGGAACACCGGUGGCGAAGGCGGCUUACUGGGCUUUUACUGACGCUGAGGCUCGAAAGCGUGGGGAGCAAACAGGAUUAGAUACCCUGGUAGUCCACGCUGUAAACGAUGAUUACUAGGUGUGGGGGGACUGACCCCUUCCGUGCCGCAGUUAACACAAUAAGUAAUCCACCUGGGGAGUACGGCCGCAAGGUUGAAACUCAAAUGAAUUGACGGGG
rnacentral:rRNA from 1 species